AGCAGCCGCGGUAAUUCCAGCUCCAAUAGCGUAUAUUAAAGUUGUUGCAGUUAAAAAGCUCGUAGUUGAAUUUCGGGAUCAAUUAAUCGGUCGUGCCUCUGGUACGCACUGGUUUUAUUGGUUUCUCCCUUCUGACGAACCAGGAUGUCAUUAAUUUGGUGUCUUGGAGAAUCAGGACUGUUACUUUGAAAAAUUAGAGUAGUUUAAAGCAGGCUAACGCUUGAAUACAUUAGCAUGGAAUAAUGAAAUAGGACGUUUGAUCCUAUUUUGUUGGUUUCUAGGAUCGACGUAAUGAUUAAUAGGGAUAGUUGGGGGCAUUAGUAUUCAAUUGUCAGAGGUGAAAUUCUUGGAUUUAUUGAAGACUAACUACUGCGAAAGCAUUUGCCAAGGAUGUUUUCAUUAAUCUAAGAACGAAAGUUAGGGGAUCGAAGACGGAUCAGAUACCGUCGUAGUCUUAACCAUAAACUAUGCCGACUAGGGAUCGGGAUGAUGUUAAUUUUUAAUGACUCAUUCGGCGCCU
rnacentral:misc_RNA from 1 species